CCCUCCCUUCCUCUCUCCCUCCCUUUCCCGUCAAGCCUUUGGCAUCAUUAUCCUCAUCACUAAAUCCUACAGAGUACAGGGCGGAAAACGGUGCACAC
ensembl:misc_RNA